UCUCUCUCUCUCUCUCUCUCUCUCCCCUCUUUAUCUUCAGAACUCACUCUCUCCCUAAAACACCGAGAGAAGAGAGCUCUCACUCUUCCACUUACCUUCACAAAUCAACCUAAAUCUCUACAUAUUUGAAGUCUGUGGGAUGCAAGGAUCACAAUGGUGGUCUUGUAUGUGAGAUCGGUGCAGUGUGGACCUCGACACCAUUAGAGCCGAGAGCUUGAAGCUCUCAAACUCAAACCCAGGCAUGGUCUCUGCUUACCCCUUGAAUUUCUGUGUUUAACCUUAUCAUUUUUCACUCUGUGAUGUUAAUUUUAUGUUGAAACUCGAGGGUUUCAACCUCUGCAACUUUUUUGCAUACGAAUCCAGCCCUAACGACCGGCAAAAUGUCGUUGAGUUUGAAGUCGGCUGGUGUUGGUGAUCCAUCCAUUCUCUCUCUAUCUCUUGUAUCUGGGAUGUUUGGAUGAGGCUUUUGAGCUAUGUGGGCAAGAGAAGGAGGACGAACUCCAGCGAGUUCGAGCCAUGAUUCACCCCCAUUCCCGCUACAUGUGUUUCCGACGAGUUUUUUUGAGCAAAAACUGUUGAAUCCGAGGUGGAUUCAAUCUCUCAUCCUUCUAAACUAGUUUUAGAUUCCGGCGACCGCCGUUUGACGGCUACAGUGACGGUGCCGUUAGCUUUAACGGCAUAUCUUUCCUCAUCAUGUAUAUUCCGUUAUCUUUGUUGAACCUCACCGCACCAAAACGUGGCUCUGGCGACGACGAGUGUGACAUCUACUUGUUGAACCGCGACGGCGAGUACAACAAUGCGUUCACCGACAACGGUGGCUCACAAUGGCAUGUGACACCACUGCGGCAACGUGUGGUGGCGCGUGGCCGGAGCACAACGGCAUGUGCGGAGGUUUAUUAGAGGAUACAAAGAGAUCAAGCAAGGAGCCUAUUGACAAGGAACGCUCUGCUUACCUGAAGUAACGAGAAUAAGAAGAACACCAGUGGUGACGAGUGGGCUUGGCAGUGAGGUUUUCAUCCCUUGGAUUUAGAGCGAUAGUUCAUUUACUUUAGUUUUAUCUUAAUUGUAAUAAUUGCAUGAUCGCACUUUUGAUAAUGCCCAACAUCGCACUUUUCUAUGUUUACUGUUGUAUGAAACUUCUAGCUGCUUUAAUGUGAUGUGAUAAUAACGGGAUUUAAUCCCAA